AAUCACCUGAGGCUCUCAGGUCCAAGGCCACCAGGACAGAAUGCUGAGGGACCAGUUCAACAGAAUCCAGGUUUACCUCCGUAACCCCACGUCUCUGCUCUGAUGUCAAGGUUACAUCGGUCUUCUGGGUGUGAAGAGAAGCAGCAGUAUAAAGGACGGAGACGGAGACGCAGCAGGCACAUCUUCCUGAGAGACUUCACUGAUCUCCAUCUUCAGAGCUCCGUCUCCCUGCUGCUCCACCCGACCUCCACAAGAGUCUCUCCACCUGUUCCUGCCUCUUCUCCACCAUGAAGACAGGUGCUCUGCUCCUCCUGCUGGCAGUUGCUGACUGCGAAGGUCGGGACCCUGACUGUGGAUUCAUGGACUAUUGGAGACAGAUUAUUGAUCUUUGAUGUGAGCUCCUGCAGGCACUCAGGUGUCCCUUUACGAUACGGUGAGAAGAUAUCGGACCCAGAGAACUGUUCCACUUUACUCUGUAGUACGUCUGCAGUCCUCGGUCCCGUCAGUUCAUGUGAACCCGGAGACGUUUGCCUCGGCAACAACACGUUUCUGGACAACGCCACCUAAACUCUGGUCACAUGUCCUCGUGUUUCUGCAUAACCCCCUGGGUCCACUUCUCUGGAACAACCAGUGGGGACAACGCCCCCACUACUACCUCCACGGCAGCGCUCUCAAGACCUGGCGGCGGCGGGAAUUGAACCCACUAGCAGUUACAGAGACCUUGGGAUCUCAAACCGUUUCUAACACCUGCAGCUUGAAUCCUUCUGAGAGAGCGGCGCUGAACCGUGGACCUUCCACCCUUCAGCCCUCCUGCCGUCGCUCUGCACUAUUCCACCUCACACCCGUUGACGCUUUGGACCUCCUGGACCUCGGAGAAAAAAAGAUCUAUUUGACAGCCGGACACAGCUGGGAGGAACCGGAGCACCGUCCAACAUCUGGAGGAGAGCCUGAAACCAGGAGAGAGGAGGUUGUCAGAGCAGCACACUAACAUCAGGAGUGACACGCACAAAGACACACACACACGAGCAGAGAGAGAGAGUGCAGAGGGCGAGUUGGGCGAGCUAGCGCUCCUCUCUCUCUCAAAGCUGCGUGGUCAGUUACGGAUUCCUGAGGGACGCCAUCGACACACGCGUGUGUGUGUGUGUGUGAGAAAUUAAUCAUUUUGCAAUUUUAACAUGAAAAAGAAGUGACAAAAAAUGUCAUGUUGCCCCGAACAACAUGAAAUCUCUGCUUCAAAAAAACCAACUGUUUCCUUCCAUAGAAUUAGAUGAUGAAUAAACAGGUUUACUGUCCUUUCUAUGUGUUGUACACUUUUUCUGUAUAGAUUUUUAAGUAUUAUGUAUUUUCUACUACGUAUCCUCAGCUUUUUCUUUCUUUUAAUCCAACGCAAUGUGACACUUUAUAAAAAACAUGAAAUGAUUAAUUGAUAAAAUAAGAAAAAAAAAAGAAAGAUAUUUUGACUUGUUGAUGGAGCUGGAACCUGAC
ensembl:lncRNA